rnacentral:tRNA from 1 species
GGGGAUUAGCUCAGUUGGUAGAGCGCCUGCUUUGCACGCAGGAUGUCAGGAGUUCGAGUCCCCUAUCCUCC